UUGUGUAGAGAGCCGAAACUUCUUCCGUUUCCCGGAUUUUCCAGGAGAGGAGGAGGUGCGGGGGAUGAUUUAUUUCGGAACCGUGUGUAUGACUGCGGCGUCCGAUAGGGGUGAAUCGCUGGCAGCAGCGUGGGCGACUUCUCAGUCCGAACCCGACAACUAACCUCGUAGGCAAUACCGAGAAGGAGC
rnacentral:sRNA from 2 species